CUCUGAGCGGGUCAAAUGGGGACUAGAAAAAUUCCACCCACUAGCUCAGCUAAUGGGUAAAAAUGCUGGACAUUUAUCUGGAGCUGCAGGGGGUAAAGUGUCACCCUUGGGAAAUUCAAAGCUGGCCUGUACCUGUUGAGAGCACCAGGGAUAUGGUCACAUUGCCUGUUGCCAGCACCCCAGGCAGAGUCAUCAACAAUUACUUUGGAGGAGGGCCACUUCUACCUUCCAGGGCAUAGGUGACCCUGUGGAAAACAAGUCCCCCUGGAACAUCCUAGAAGGGGAGGCAGACCAUAAACUAGCCACUGGAAUGAGAAUGCAGUAAAACAGCUUGCCUCAGAGUGGUCUUCCCUGCAACACACAACUUCUCUUAGGCAUUCAUGAUUCUGACGGGCCAGUCAUCCCUUCAUUGACUUUGUCCAGGAGCUCCACCAUUACAGUCUCAUUUUAGAAAAUAAAGACACUUGGAAACAAA
rnacentral:lncRNA from 1 species